CUUUCCAGACCGAGAGCUGCGCCGGGGACCUCUGGGAAUGAAGCUUGAGCCGAAACUUGAGCACCCCCUUACCCCGACUAUGGGCUACGUUUCCCAGAAGCCUCCACGGGCCACAACCCUUUCUUACGCAUCCAAGGCCACCUGUUACUACCUCGACCGGUCGGUUCGCCCCGAUCCUUGGAGGAUGCUCAGGCGUGGCUGGGCGACCGAGACUGGGCUUCGUUGAAGCUUGGAACACGACGCGACUCGAGACGAAAAAGGUUGUGCCUGCCCAGGCCCUGCUUGGAUUUUUCCUCCCCCGGACUACAUUUCCCCGAGGGCCCCUCGGUAUGUGCGGCUUCCGUACGAAGUUGGCUGGACCGUGCGAGUUGGCGGGAGUUCGGACGCAAAGGAUUGAGGCAUUUCGAGGUUGCUUCGCUCACUGGUUUGGGGCGGAUUCCAUCAGACUGGCGUGAGAGGAUCCCAGAGAAGUCAUCGGUGAGGGGCCCCGGGUGGUUUCAGGAUUUCAAGUUCAAAGAUGUGGUCAUUUACUUCUCUCAGAAAGAGUAGGAAUGCUUGCACUCUGCUCAGAAGAAUUUGUACCAAGAUGUGAUGCUGGAGAAUUAUAACAACCUGAUCUCACUGGGAUUCACCAAUUUUAAGCCAGGUGUGAUCUCCUUAUUGGAGCAGGGAAAGGAGCCCUGGAUGGUUAAGGGCAAGGAGACAGACGAAUGGUGCCCAGACUGGGAAUCUAGAAGAGAAGCCAAGACUUUAUCUUUAAAGGAGGACAGUUAUGAAAUUCAAUCAUUGCAGCUGGAGAUAAUAAAG